UACAGAGGUCUCAACCGUUGUUCGGAUUCAUUGGGCGUAAAGGGUGCGUAGGCGGUCGUGCAAGUCGGAUGUGAAAUCUCAGGGCUCAACCCUGAAACUGCAUUCGAUACUGCGCGGCUAGAGUGCUGGAGGGGAGACUGGAAUUUACGGUGUAGCAGUGAAAUGCGUAGAUAUCGUAAGGAACAUCAGUGGCGAAGGCGACUUCCUGGACUGCUACUGACACUGAGGCACGAAAGCGUGGGGAGCGAACAGG
rnacentral:rRNA from 1 species